rnacentral:rRNA from 1 species
UACGUAGGGGGCAAGCGUUGUCCGGAUUUAUUGGGCGUAAAGAGCGUGUAGGCGGCCAGGUAGGUCGGUUGUGAAAACUGGAGGCUUAACCUCCAGACGUCGACCGAAACCAUCUGGCUAGAGUCCGGAAGAGGAGAGUGGAAUUCCUGGUGUAGCGGUGAAAUGCGCAGAUAUCAGGAGGAACACCGGUGGCGAAGGCGGAUCUCUGGGCCUUACCUGACGCUCAGGCGCGAAAGCUAGGGGAGCGAACAGG